rnacentral:pre_miRNA from 1 species
AAAACAUUCGGACCGUCGGUCUACCGAGCAAUAUCACCCUCUCGGUAGAAGAUAGACCCUUCAACGU